UCCCGUCCCCGUCCUGCGCCAGCGGCUGGAGCGAACCUCCCGUCGGCGGUGCCUGGGCCUGGGCGCGGCUCUGCAGGCGUCGCUGCCCGCGCUGCCGCAGCCUCUCGGCCCCGGCGAGCGAGGAGCGGGGCGCGGCCAUGGGCACCCGCGGGCCCCCCGCGCUGAUGGACACCACGCCCGCCAAGACCAUCGUGGUGUACCGCAACGGGGACCCGUUCUACGUGGGCAAGAAGUUCGUGCUGUCGCGGCGCCGCGCGGCCACCUUCGAGGCACUGCUGGAGCAGCUCACGGAGCAGGUGGACGUCCCGUUCGGGGUGCGCCGCCUCUUCACGCCCACGCGUGGGCACCGUGUGCUGGGGCUGGACGCGCUGCAGGCGGGCGGCAAGUACGUGGCGGCGGGCCGCGAGCGCUUCAAGGAGCUCGAUUAUAUUCACAUAGUUCCCCAAAAACCUGCAAAGAUAAGGAAGUUGAAGGAAAUCAAACCGGUGGUGCAUUGUGAUAUAAAUGUGCCUUCCAAGUGGCAAACAUAUCAUCGUAUAUCUCGACAUAUACAUGUUUUUACAAAUGGAAGAUUAUUUAUUCCACCUGCAAAAAUCAUUAUACCCAAAUUUAGUCUGUCUGAUUGGGACAUCGUGCUGGCCAUGAUCGGAGAAAAAGUCUUCCCUCUAGGAGGCGUUCGGAAAUUAUUUACAAUGAAUGGGCAUCUUUUGGGCGACUCAAAGGAUUUGCAAGACAAUCACUUUUAUGUUGCUGCGGGACUGGAGACCUUCAAAUAUUUUCCUUACUGGAAGUCUCCAAGGGUGCCCAGUGAGGUCCAACAUGCUGCUGUAGAUCCAUGUUGUUCUGACAAAAGCCAUCUGGAGUGCCAUGCACUUUGUCCUGCUCCUGUCCUUGGAAACUUGCAGGCUGGAAGGAGAAAUGGCUGUGUGGAUUCCAAAGGAAAAGAACCUUGGAAAUAUGAUGGCAUACCCCCUAAAACACAGGAUUCUGUUUAUUAUGCCAAAGAAGAAAAGAAGAAAACAUUGACAGAACCUUUAGUCCAAAGGGGCGCAGAAAGUGACGUGUAUAAAGCACCGACUCCUAGCGAGGAAACCCAAGGGGCGCUGGACGUCAAAGAGGAGCACAAUGUGCAGCUGGAGGUGCCUGUGGACCAGAGGCAAGCUGAGAUAGUUAAAGAAGAUGAAGAGAUACAUGAGAACACCCCUGAUUUUGAGGGCAACAAGGAUAAAGAAGAUGCAAGUCUUUGUGAAGACGUUGAAAGAAAGGAAAACAAUUCACGAGUGUCUUUUAAGAAACAGUUGCCCUUAAGACACACCACAAAGAAAAAAGUAUCUGUCAAGAACCUCAGCAAGAGUAAAAAAGUGGUUCUGUUUCCUGAAAAAGAAUCAUAUGACAUUCUAGAGGAAGAAAAUACACCUGUACUACUAGAAACCCCAGUAGAAAUAGAAGCCCACAGAGAACCACCGAUGGGACAAUCACAAGAAAAAUCGUCACUAAGACAAGAAAAACAAACACCUGAGGAACAAGAGUCCUCUGAGCAGCCAUGCCUGGGACAGCCACACCGAGAGCAGCCACCUGAGAUGCCAGAGUCCCCCACGCAGCCAUGUCUGGGACAGCCACACCGAGAGCAGCCACCUGAGAUGCCAGAGUCCCCCACGCAGCCAUCCUCAGGACAGUCAUGCCAAGAGCAGCCACCUGAGAUGCCGGAGUCCCCCACACAGCCGUCCUCAGGACAGCCACACCGAGAGCAGCCACCUGAGACACUGGAGUCCCCCAUACAGCCGUCCUCAGGACAGUCAUGCCAAGAGCAGCCACCUGAGACGCUGGAGUCAUCCAUGUAGCCAUGCCUGGCACGAUCGUCUCAGAAACACAUGAUUCAGGGGUAACAAAUAAAACAACAAAUACCAUGAGAACAACAUGUCAACCAUGUUGUGAAGAAAACAGUCAAAAACUAGAAAGGAUCACAAGACAAAUGAAAAUAAAAGUGGACAUUUUUUCACAUUAUGCUAAAGAGAUGGCCCGGGAGUGGAAACCUGUAGAUUAACAAAACCACCUUUGUUAUUACCUGAAGUCCACUUUUCUUCAGCCGUGGGGCUUCCAUGUCACAUAUGGACAUUUUAACAGCAAGAA